GUGCCAGCCGCCGCGGUAAGACGUAGGGGGCUAGCGUUGUCCGGAAUUACUGGGCGUAAAGGGCACGUAGGCGGGAAUUUAAGUCAGGUGUGAAAGACCGCAGCUCAACUGCGGGGUUGCACUUGAAACUGGAUUUCUUGAGGGCAGGAGAGGAAAGUGGAAUUCCUGGUGUAGCGGUGAAAUGCGUAGAAAUCAGGAGGAACACCGGUGGCGAAGGCGACUUUCUGGACUGACCCUGACGCUGAGGUGCGAAAGCGUGGGUAGCAAACAGGAUUAGAUACCCUGGUAGUCCACGCUGUAAACGAUGGAUACUAGGUGUAGGAGGUAUCGACCCCUUCUGUGCCGCAGCUAACGCAAUAAGUAUCCCGCCUGGGGAGUACGGUCGCAAGGCUGAAACUCAAAUGAAUUGGCGG
rnacentral:rRNA from 1 species